UUACGGCCAUAUCACGUUGAAACACCAGUUCCCGCACGAUGACCGAAGUUAAGCAAUAUCGAGCAUGGUCAGUACCUAGAUGGGUAACUUGUAAAUACCAGGUGCUGUAGG